rnacentral:rRNA from 1 species
GUGAGGAAUUUUCCGCAAUGGGCGAAAGCCUGACGGAGCAAUGCCGCGUGAAGGAUGAAGGCCUAUGGGUUGUAAACUUCUUUUCUCAGAAAAGAAUUAUGACGGUAUCUGAGGAAUAAGCAUCGGCUAACUCUGUGCCAGCAGCCGCGGUAAGACAGAGGAUGCAAGCGUUAUCCGGAAUGAUUGGGCGUAAAGCGUCUGUAGGUUGUUUAAAAAGUAUUCUGUCAAAGAUUAGGGCUUAACCCUAGAUAGGCAGAAUAAACUUUUAAGCUAGAGUUUGGUAGAGGCAGAGGGAAUUCCCGGUGGAGCGGUGAAAUGCGUAGAUAUCGGGAGGAACACCAAAGGCGAAGGCACUCUGCUGGGCCAAUACUGACACUGAGGCACGAAAGCGUGGGGAGCAAACAGGAUUAGAAACCCGGGUAGUCC